UACAGAGGUCCCAAGCGUUGUUCGGAUUCAUUGGGCGUAAAGGGUGCGUAGGCGGCGCGGUAAGUCGGGUGUGAAAUCUCGGAGCUUAACUCCGAAACUGCAUUCGAUACUGCCGUGCUUGAGGACUGGAGAGGAGACUGGAAUUUACGGUGUAGCGGUGAAAUGCGUGGAUAUCGUAAGGAAGACCAGUGGCGAAGGCGGGUCUCUGGACAGUUCCUGACGCUGAGGCACGAAGGCCAGGGGAGCAAACGGG
rnacentral:rRNA from 1 species